ACGCUCGACACCUACGAGAGGCAGCAGUGAGGGAUAUUGCACAAUGGGGGGAACCCUGAUGCAGCGACGCCGCGUGAGGGAAGAAGGUUUUCGGAUUGUAAACCUCUGUCCUCAGUGAAGAAGAUGACGGUAACUGAGGAGGAAGCCACGGCUAACUACGUACCAGCAGCCGCGGUAAUCUGAGCGGGCUGGCAAGGC
rnacentral:rRNA from 1 species